UACGUAGGGGGCAAGCGUUGUCCGGAAUCAUUGGGCGUAAAGAGCGCGUAGGCGGUCCGGUAAGUCCGCUCUGAAAGCCCGGGGCUCAACCCCGGGAGGCGGGUGGAUACUGCUGAGCUCGAGUCCGGAAGAGGAGUGUGGAAUUCCUGGUGUAGCGGUGAAAUGCGCAGAUAUCAGGAGGAACACCAAUGGCGAAGGCAGCACUCUGGGACGGUACUGACGCUGAGACGCGAAAGCGUGGGGAGCAAACAGG
rnacentral:rRNA from 1 species